GACCUCAAAUCAGGUAGGAACACCCGCUGAACUUAAGCAUAUCAAUAAGCGGAGGAAAAGAAAAUAACAAUGAUUCCCCUAGUAACUGCGAGUGAAGAGGGACAAGCUCAAAUUUUAAAUCCAUCGGGUUUUACCCGAUCGAGUUGUAAUUUGAAGAAGCGUUUUCUGCGUAUUUGAUCAGCCUAAGUCCUAUUGAAUGAGGCAUCAUGGAGGGUGAUAAUCCCGUCCGGUUGAUCAUUUGCGUUUUACGAUACGCUUUCUAAGAGUCAAGUUGUUUGGGAUUGCAGCUUAAAAUGGGAGGUAAAUUUCUCCUAAGGCUAAAUAACGGCGAGAGACCGAUAGCGAACAAGUACCGUGAGGGAAAGAUGAAAAGAACUUUGAAAAGAGAGUUAAACAGUACGUGAAAUUGUUGAAAGGGAAACGAUUGAAGCCAGUCGUACCUUCGGGUAAUCAGCCUUUCGGGUGUGAUUCUGUGGAGUUUGAGGAGCUUAACACCUUCAUGCUUUGCAUAUUCGUGCUCUUGGGUGUACUUGCCCGUGUGGUUGGUUAACAUCAAUUUCGGGCACCAUAAAAUGGCUGGAGGAAUGUAGCUUCGAUCUUGUAUUGAAGUGUUAUAGCCUUCGGUAGAUGUGGUGAUCGAGAUUGAGGAUUGCAACGGAUACCUUUCGGGGCUACCUGUCUGAUCUCUGAUCGUUGCUUUGGUGCUGAAAGCGUGCUUAUAGUUAUCAAAGUCGAUGGUCAAUAGGUUAGAACGGGUUAAAUUCGUUAAGGAUGUUGACGUAAUGGCUUUAAACGACCCGUCUUGAAACACGGACCAAGGAGUCUAACAUAUAUGCGAGUGUUC
rnacentral:rRNA from 1 species